CGGUUGUACAUGAAAAGACGAAAAGAAUUAGCAAAUGGACUCUAUGUUUAUCAAAAUACAUAAUAAACAAUAUUAUGUAGUCACGUGCAUAUGAAUAUGUUUUUAUAAUAUGAUGGAAGGUUUAAUGUAUCUGCAACCUUUUCUGAAGCAUAGGAGCAUACGUUUAUUCUCUUAAGCCUAAUAAAACAAACAAACAGCACUAUAUGUGGUUCCUAAAGAAAGAAUACAUGCUUAAUCCUAUCCCCACAAGAUUACAAAGAUGGCCAACAAAUAACAAGAUAAAAUACGAAGUGGGGGUCCAAUACUUAGAGUGGAAUUAAGAUGAAAUAAAUACAUGGGACAAGGGCUAAGUUCACAGAAUCAUGUAUGACGCCAAAA
rnacentral:lncRNA from 1 species